rnacentral:rRNA from 1 species
GACGAACGCUGGCGGCGUGCUUAACACAUGCAAGUCGAACGGAAAGGCCCUGCUUUUGUGGGGUGCUCGAGUGGCGAACGUGUGAGUAACACGUGAGUAACCUGCCCUUGACUUUGGGAUAACUUCAGGAAACUGCGGCUACUACCGGAUAGGAGCUCCUGCUGCAUGGUGGGGGUUGGAAAGUUUCGGCGGUUGGGGAUGGACUGGCGGCUUAUCAGCUUGUUGGUUGGGUAGUGGCUUACCAAGGCUUAGACGGGUAGGCGGCCUGGGAGGGGGAACGGGGACAUGGGGACUAAGAUACGGACCAGACGCCAACGGUAGGCAGCAGGGGGGAGUAUUGCACAAUGGGCGGAAGCCUGAUGCAGAAACGCCGCGUGCGGGAUGAAGGCUUUCGGGUUGUAAACCGCUUUAGCCUGUGACGAAGCGGGAGUGACGGUAAUGGGUAAAGAAGCACCGGCUAACUACGUG